GCUGGGUGCGGCAGCACACGCCUGUAAUCCCAGCAGCUCAGGAGGCUGAGGCAGGAGGAUCGCCAGUUCAAAGCCAGCCUCAGCAACUUAGCUAGGUGAUAAGCAACUCAAUGAGACCCUGUCUCUA
rnacentral:sRNA from 1 species